AUUGAACGCUGGCGGCAGGCCUAACACAUGCAAGUCGAACGAGUGGCGGACGGGUGAGUAAUGUCUGGGAAACUGCCCGAUGGAGGGGGAUAACUACUGGAAACGGUAGCUAAUACCGCAUACCAUCGGAUGUGCCCAGAUGGGAUUAGCUAGUAGGUGGGGUAACGGCUCACCUAGGCGACGAUCCCUAGCUGGUCUGAGAGGAUGACCAGCCAAACUGGAACUGAUACACGGUCCAGACUACUACGGGAGGCAGCAGUGGGGAAGAUUGCACAAUGGGUGCAAGCCUGAUGCAGCCAUGCCGAGUGUAUGAAGAAGGCUGUCGGGUUGUAAAGUACUUUCAGCGAGGAGGCGUUACUCGCAGAAGAAGCACCGGCUAACUCCGUGCCAGCAGCCGCGGUAAUAC
rnacentral:rRNA from 1 species